UGAUUUCCUUUUAACUGCGUUACUCUUGCUUGAUUUAUCGGAUUAGGGCUUUUCACACAUAGUGCGUACAAGAUAUUGUUUUUAAUGAGAAAUUAAAAGAUUACCAACAAUACCCAUAAACCAUUAAAAACACAAACUCUAGAUGAAUGGUAAUUAGACAGAAUGAUUUGAGGCUGAUAAAUUGAAAGCAAUUAAUGUAUUUGUUUGGGAUUCUGGAGAUAGCUGUGUGUUCCAGAAAGCACUGAAGGGCUCAGAUUUGGUGUCGGAUUGUGUGCAGAGAUACCUGCACUGCUUCAGGUGUCCGGGUCCCAGGAAAACACCAGUGGAGAAGAUGCUGAAAGGGCUCCUGGGGCUUCGAGAGGGGGAGACGUGAGAGGUUAUGUGAGGGGCUUUGUGGGGAGGGCCGAAGGGGAGGUCACAGUAGGGCGUCAGUGAAUCAAGCCUUUCCUGUGGUCUGAUGUAAAGGGAUAUGUGAGGUAGGAGGGGGGAAAGUGCUGAGGACAGGAAAAUGUUUCUCAUCUGUGCUGUGGUUUAUUAGUACUGAGUCUUCUGCUUAACCCGAGCAGUCCUCAGUUGGUGAGCAAGUGUGAGAUGCUCCCCUCUGGGACAUGAGGGGGAUGUGGCUUGUUACCCCAGCAAGAUCGCUGCUGCUCAUGCUCUUGGCAGAACAACUGUUCCAAGAUGCUGUGUCUGGAAAGGGAGCACUGUUGGAUGUUCCUUGUGCUUGCUUCCAGACCAAUGUAAAUUCUUCAAAUAUCAAAAUGAGGACUCGCAGCAAACAAAAACCUGAAACCUUUUCCCUGUUUUUCCCUCAAGUCAUCAGAAUCAAACCCUUCUCACACAAUGUUUUGUUUGUGAUAAUUUGGUGUUUCUGAUGGUAGGGAGGGUCUAAUAAAAGAAAUUCUAGACAUGGAAUUGUGCAAGUAGAACUCCCUUCUUCUCACCAUUGGCUUAUCUCUCUAUUCCAAUCCCUCCUUUAGAUGUAUUUCUUCCAUGAGGCUUUUCAGUGCUUAUCCGCUGUAGAAGGAAAUGCAUUAUUUAACAAGGCAAGAGCAAGAAAACAGUGCAUGCCCUUCACGUUUAACCAUCAGCUGCUGGUAUCUUGUUCAGGGAAUCAGGUUUUCAAAGGAGCACAAGCUCUUGAAAGGCCUUAGAGGAGCGGAUGCUGGCUCUCUUUUGAGAACCUGGCCACCAGGUUCCCAGUGGGAGCUGUUGGACUGAACCAGACUCUCUUGAAGUUUUGCCCUGAAAAAUAAAAAUGAUGUUCUCUAUGGAAACUCUGUGGCUUGUCAAAUUUAGGGCGCAAUUCUUUCAGUUGCUGAUUACUUCUGGGAGUGUUGCAGGUGCUCUGAAGCAUACACCUGCAGGAGCCCCAUGCGAUGCUCACAGGGGGAUGUUUCUUAUGGCUCUCCUCUGUUCCACUCGAAUCAAAGCAGGUAUGUCAGCAAGGAACAUACUGCUUCUGGGGGUGAGGGAGACAAGGCACGGCUUAACCCAGAGGGCUUACUCUCUAGGGAACAUUUGUUGGGUUGCUGCCACUGCUGUAAAGUAGUGUCCUGGGCAUUUCAUUAAGUAUUCUUCAUUCCUUGUUGCACGAAUUCAGCCAUCAAAUUAACAAAUAAGGGUCCUGGAGGAGCCACCUGGGGCCUAUUGCGAAAGCUGGAUGCCAGUAAAAUCCAGUUGCAUAUUGCAAAAGGGAAAAGACCAAUAAGGAAACAAUAACAGAAAAGCUCUAUUAAAAAGGCAUAUGGAUACAAUGUUGCUGGCCCAGUUAAUGAACCUGUUAUAUUCAGUAGUGCAAUAAAAUCCAAAGUAAUUGCAAAUGAAACUUAAUGCCUUGUAAAAGAGUCCAGCUCCUUUUUGAAAUGAAGGCCUGAUCCAGCAGGAGGUGUAUGUGUGCUGCACAGCUUAACUCGUGUUUUAGGAAGCAUCUGAAUAGCUGUGGAUGAUGUUGAGGUUGUUUGAAACGUGCCUGCUUUCUUAGCCCAGCCUUCUGCAGGAGGAUGUGGAACAGGGCAGCGCAUGGAGAAUGUGACCUCGACCCUGUGCGUGUGGGAUCCUGCAUACCCUGCUCUUCCCUCCAGGCUCAGGAGUCACUUCAGACUGAUGCAACCAGGAAGUUGUUGAGGUUCCAGGCUCUGUGCAUCCCCUGGGAUGGAUAUCGUUGCUGCCCUUUCUGCUGGGGACUGUGCAGGGGGCACAGAAACGCUGCUGCCAAGAGGUGCAGAAACGGAUGUGACAGCAUCACCAGCCUUAGAAGAAACAGCAGCAGCGAGAGAGGUGGAAAGUCUGGACGUGGCCGACCCUGAUGAAGCAGUACUGGAAGCAUCAGAAAACCCAGAGACAGAAGGAGUUGCUGAAAUUAUCCGAGCAGCAGAACGAAUAGCAAAAUCUGAAGUGGCCAAGGUGCUGCAGUCAGCAAUAGCUGAGCUCACGGAGAUGAGGAGGAGCGCAUGGUUAAAGCCAAAGAACACCACCCAACAGGAGGAGGAGGACUGGGAGAAGAAGAGAGAGGUGAUGUGAGGGGAAGGUUGGUUCAUACCCAAAGUAAGGCUCAUACCCUGAGCAUUCCCAUUACAUCCCCUUUGUAAGUGCCCACGCUAUUAAAAAAUAAAGAUGUGCCACAU